CUGGGAGUGAGCGCUGGGGCCACCGGCUACGGGAAGGAGGGGAGCGGCCAAACUGGGGGGCGGGCACUGCAGAGUGACAGCAACACUGACCAAUCACUGAUUAAAGGAAGAACUGAGUGACAGGGCGGCCAACCAAUCACAGCGCAGAGAGAGACUGACAGCAAUACUGGCCAAUCACUGAUUAAAGGAAGAACUGAGUGACAGGGCGGCCAACCAAUCACAGCGCAGAGAGAGACUGACAGCAAUACUGGCCAAUCACUGAUUAAAGGAAGAACUGAGUGACAGGGCGGCCAACCAAUCACAGCGCAGAGAGAGACUGACAGCAAUAUUGACCAAUCACUGAUUAAAGGAAGAACUGAGUGAUAAAACAGCCACCCAAUCACAGCACAGAGAGAGACUGACAGCAAUACUGGCCAAUCACUGAUUAGAGGAAGAACUGAGUGACAGGGCAGCCAACCAAUCUCCCACACCCAGUCAUUAUUUACUAAUAUCUCCCACACACAGUCAUAGCAAGACCACUUAACCCCUUAAGGACUG